rnacentral:tRNA from 1 species
GGGGAGAUGACGGAGCGGUUGAACGUGCUCGUCUCGAAAACGAGUAGGGUCUAAAAAGCCCUCGGGAGUUCGAAUCUCCCUCUCCCCGCCA